rnacentral:rRNA from 1 species
UCCCCGGGCUCANCCUGGGAACUGCGUUCUGAACUGGGUGACUAGAGUGUGUCAGAGGGAGGUAGAAUUCCACGUGUAGCAGUGAAAUGCGUAGAGAUGUGGAGGAAUACCGAUGGCGAAGGCAGCCUCCUGGGAUAACACUGACGUUCAUGCCCGAAAGCGUGGGUAGCAAACAGGAUUAGAUACCCUGGUAGUCCACGCCCUAAACGAUGUCGAUUAGCUGUUGGGCUGCAUGACUGCUUAGUAGCGAAGCUAACGCGUGAAAUCGACCGCCUGGGGAGUACGGUCGCAAGAUUAAAACUCAAAGGAAUUGACGGGGACCCGCACAAGCGGUGGAUGAUGUGGAUUAAUUCGAUGCAACGCGAAGAACCUUACCUGGUCUUGACAUGUACGGAACCCUCCAGAGACGGAGGGGUGCCUUCGGGAGCCGUAACACAGGUGCUGCAUGGCUGUCGUCAGCUCGUGUCGUGAGAUGUUGGGUUAAGUCCCGCAACGAGCGCAACCCUUGUCAUUAGUUGCCAUCAUUAAGUUGGGCACUCUAAUGAGACUGCCGGUGACAAGCCGGAGGAAGGUGGGGAUGACGUCAAGUCCUCAUGGCCCUUAUGACCAGGGCUUCACACGUCAUACAAUGGUCGGUACAGAGGGUAGCCAAGCCGCGAGGCGGAGCCAAUCUCACAAAACCGAUCGUAGUCUGGAUUGCACUCUGCAACUCGAGUGCAUGAAGUCGGAAUCGCUAGUAAUCGCAGGUCAGCAUACUGCGGUGAAUACGUUCCCGGGUCUUGUACACACCGCCCGUCACACCAUGGGAGUGGGGGAUACCAGAAGUA